AUUUUUCCUUCGCCGUUCCUUCUCUUAUCCCCGCGCGCCUCCUCUUUCCUUGCCCUAACCGCUGCAGCGAUUUUCUUCUCCCCUCUUCUCUUCUUCUUUUCUCCCCCCUCGCGUCCGAUCACAGCCGACGCCGCCCGGAGAAGUGCCGACGGUCGCCUCCUCUGUGCCGAGCCCUAGCGCUGAUCGCACCCGCAGAGUUCCUUUUUCCCUCUGCCGUCGGCGGCGUGAGGCUUCUCUGUCUCUUUGGUUUCAGGCGCCGACAGCCGGCCACCGCGAGCCCUAUCUCCGAUCACCGAGCAGAGCAGGUCCCUUUCUUCUACCUUAGCCCUGUGCCCUAGCCGUCCGACAUCUCCUGGUACAGCCGAGUCUUCACCGGAUCUGCCCUAGAUCUGCCGAAGACUUCCCGGGUUGUGCCUAGCUCUACCCAUUGUAGCCACCAUCAACCACUUCAUCUUUGGGUAAGAUUUGAUUUGAGUCUAUGGCUUGGAGGUCUCGGCUGAAGAAUUAGGAAUCUGUUGAGACAUUGUUGGAGAGAGAGCUAACCGUUGUGAUCUUUCUUUUGUUUGAUCCAGAGGACCUUGACGCGAGACGAGUUUCUCGACGUCCGGAUUUGGACUGAUUGGACCUUUCUUAU